rnacentral:rRNA from 1 species
AAUAGAUACCCAGGUAGUCCAUGCCGUAAACGAUGAGUGCUAAGUGUUAGGGGGUUUCCGCCCCUUAGUGCUGCAGCUAACGCAUUAAGCACUCCGCCUGGGGAGUACGACCGCAAGGUUGAAACUCAAAGGAAUUGACGGGGGCCCGCACAAGCGGUGGAGCAUGUGGUUUAAUUCGAAGUAACGCGAAGAACCUUACCAGGUCUUGACAUCCCGAUGAUCGCUCUAGAGAUAGAGUUUUCCCUUCGGGGACAUUGGUGACAGGUGGUGCAUGGUUGUCGUCAGCUCGUGUCGUGAGAUGUUGGGUUAAGUCCCGCAACGAGCGCAACCCUUAAUCUUAGUUGCCAUCAUUCAGUUGGGCACUCUAAGGUGACUGCCGGUGAUAAACCGGAGGAAGGUGGGGAUGACGUCAAAUCAUCAUGCCCCUUAUGACCUGGGCUACACACGUGCUACAAUGGACGGUACAAAGAGUCGCUAACUCGCGAGAGUAUGCUAAUCUCAUAAAACCGUUCUCAGUUCGGA